UACGUAGGGUGCGAGCGUUAAUCGGAAUUACUGGGCGUAAAGCGUGCGUAGGCGGUUGGCAAAGUCAGCCGUGAAAGCCCCGGGCUUAACCUGGGAAUGGCGGUUGAAACUAGUCGACUCGAAUCUGGCAGAGGGGGGUGGAAUUCCACGUGUAGCAGUGAAAUGCGUAGAGAUGUGGAGGAACACCGAUGGCGAAGGCAGCCCCCUGGGCUGAGAUUGACGCUCAGGCACGAAAGCGUGGGGAGCAAACAGG
rnacentral:rRNA from 1 species